UUUCAGCAACGGAUCUCUUGGCUCUCGCAUCGAUGAAGAACGCAGCGAAAUGCGAUAAGUAAUGUGAAUUGCAGAAUUCAGUGAAUCAUCGAAUCUUUGAACGCACCUUGCGCUCCUUGGUAUUCCGAGGAGCAUGCCUGUUU
rnacentral:rRNA from 1 species